UAUAUUGUCAGAAGCAGACUGUGGAUGGCGCUGUAUAAUUAAAUUAACAUUAUUAUAUUUAUUUAAAUAGUUUUAGUGGUAGUUUGAGAUUAAACCGGUAUAUUAAACAUGGCGGCGGCUCGAUACAGUUGAGAGCCGUUAAAAUUUGAAAAUUUGAAUCUGUUCACGCGCAUGAAGCAGCAGCAGCAGCACGAGCGCUUCAGUAUACAGUAUCCAACAUAACAAACAUCAUCUACUAAUGUCUGUAAAAGUGCCACAUGCAGCAGAUACUGUUGGUGCUGCACAACUCUAGGGUCACGGGUUCAGUCCUUAGCACCAGAUGGAGACUUGCCACAUCGACAGGAAGUGCAACCAUGCUCCAGCUUCUGAGAAAUGGUCAGGUGAUGAGGAGUCUCUCACUCGGUCGUGUCUCAGCACAGGACAAUCAGGAUAAACAAAUCACUGUUGUAAAAUGCAAAUGAAGACAUGAAGCUCACUCUACUUUUGCUGGAGCAUGACUGUGCCCUGUGGACAUAGCCAGGUCCAGAAAGACGUGAUCUGAUGACUUUGGUGUAGAGAAACUCCAGUGACCUGUACACAAUGCUCUUUUAAAUGAAUGAGCACAAAUCUUAACAUAGAAAAUCUCGAGGAAAGUAGUUUAGGCUGUUAUAGCUACAAAAACAUUCUCAAAG